AUGGGCUCCAGGCUCUUCUUCGUGCUCUCCAGUCUCCUGUGUUCAAAACACAUGGAGGCUGCAGUCACCCAAAGCCCAAGAAACAAGGUGGCAGUAACAGGAGGAAAGGUGACAUUGAGCUGUAAUCAGACUAAUAACCACAACAACAUGUACUGGUAUCGGCAGGACACGGGGCAUGGGCUGAGGCUGAUCCAUUAUUCAUAUGGUGCUGGCAGCACUGAGAAAGGAGAUAUCCCUGAUGGAUACAAGGCCUCCAGACCAAGCCAAGAGAACUUCUCCCUCAUUCUGGAGUUGGCUACCCCCUCUCAGACAUCAGUGUACUUCUGUGCCAGCGGUGAUG